GACGAACGCUGGCGGCGUGCCUAAUACAUGCAAGUCGAGCGGACUUUCAAGAAGCUUGCUUUUUGAAAGUUAGCGGCGGACGGGUGAGUAACACGUGGGCAACCUGCCUGCAAGACGGGGAUAACUCCGGGAAACCGGGGCUAAUACCGGAUAAUAUCUUCCUUCGCAUGAAGGAAGGUUGAAAGGCGGCGCAAGCUGCCGCUUGCAGAUGGGCCCGCGGCGCAUUAGCUAGUUGGUGAGGGAACGGCUCACCAAGGCGACGAUGCGUAGCCGACCGGAGAUGGUGGUCCGCCACCCUUGGACUGGGACACGGCCCAGACCCCUACGGGGGGCAGCCGUAGGGGAUCUUCCGCAAUGGACGAAAGUCUGACGGAGCAACGCCGCGUGAGCGAAGAAGGUCUUCGGAUCGUAAAGCUCUGUUGUCAGGGAAGAACAAGUACCGUUCGAACAGGGCGGUACCUUGACGGUACCUGACCAGAAAGCCACGGCUAACUACGUG
rnacentral:rRNA from 1 species